GUGCCAGCAGCCGCGGUAAUACGUAGGUGGCAAGCGUUAUCCGGAUUUACUGGGUGUAAAGGGCGUGUAGGCGGGGACGCAAGUCAGAUGUGAAAACCACGGGCUCAACCUGUGGCCUGCAUUUGAAACUGUGUUUCUUGAGUACUGGAGAGGCAGACGGAAUUCCUAGUGUAGCGGUGAAAUGCGUAUAUAUUAGGAGGAACACCAGUGGCGAAGGCGGUCUGCUGGACAGCAACUGACGCUGAGGCGCGAAAGCGUGGGGAGCAAACAGGAUUAGAUCCCCUGGUACUCCACGCUGUAAACGAUGGAUACUAGAUGGGGGGGGACUGACCCCCUCCGUGCCGCAGUUAACACAAUAAGUAUCUCACCUGGGGAGUACGAUCGCAAGGUUGAAACUCAAAGGAAUUGACGGGGGCCCGCACAAGCGGUGGAGUAUGUUGUUUAAUUCGAAGCAACGCAAAGAACCUUAGCGGGGCUUGACAUCCCGAUGACCGGCAUAGAGAUAUGCUUUUCUCUUCAGAGACAUCGGUGACAGGUGGUGCAUGGUUGUCGUCAGCUCGUGUCGUGAGAUGUUUGGGUUACCUCCCGCAACGAAGCGCACCUCUUUAUUGUUAGUUGCUACGCAAGACCACUCUAGCGAGACUGCCCGUUGACAAAAAGGGAGGGAGGGGGGGGGACGACUUCCAAAUUCAUCCUGCCCCCUUAUGUCCCGGGCCCACACACGUACUAAGAGUGGGUGGUUAAACAGAGGGAAACCAAAACCGCGGGGGGGGGAACAAAUCCCCUAAAAGCCCUCCC
rnacentral:rRNA from 1 species